rnacentral:rRNA from 1 species
GGCCCAGACUCCUACGGGAGGCAGCAGUGAGGAAUAUUGGUCAAUGGGCGGGAGCCUGAACCAGCCAAGUCGCGUGAGGGAAGAAGGUACUGAGUAUUGUAAACCUCUUUUGCCAGGGGACAAAGGCGGCCACGGGUGGCCGUAAGAGGGUACCUGGAGAAAAAGCAUCGGCUAACUCCGUGCCAGCAGCCGCGGUAAUACGUAGGGGGCAAGCGUUAUCCGGAUUUACUGGGUGUAAAGGGAGCGUAGGGGGCAUGGUAAGCCAGAAGUGAAAACCCGGGGCUCAACCCCGCGGAUUGCUUUUGGAACUAUCAGGCUGGAGUGCUGGAGGGGUAAGCGGAAUUCCUAGUGUAGCGGUGAAAUGCGUAGAUAUUAGGAGGAACACCGGUGGCGAAGGCGGCUUACUGGACAGAAACUGACACUGAGGCUCGAAAGCGUGGGGAGCAAACAGGAUUAGAUACCCGUGUA